rnacentral:rRNA from 1 species
AGUGAACGCUGGCGGCAGGCCUAACACAUGCAAGUCGAACGGCAGCACAGAGGAGCUUGCUCCUUGGGUGGCGAGUGGCGGACGGGUGAGGAAUGCAUCGGAAUCUGCCUAUUUGUGGGGGAUAACGUAGGGAAACUUACGCUAACACCGCAUACGUCCUACGGGAGAAAGUGGGGGACCUUCGGGCCUCACGCAGAUAGAUGAGCCGAUGCCGGAUUAGCUAGUUGGCGGGGUAAAGGCCCACCAAGGCGACGAUCCGUAGCUGGUCUGAGAGGAUGACCAGCCAGACUGGAACUGAGACACGGUCCAGGCUCCUACGGGAGGCAGCAGGGGGGAAUAUUGGACAAUGGGCGCAAGCCUGAUCCAGCCAUGCCGCGUGUGUGAAGAAGGCCUUCGGGUUGUAAAGCACGUUUGUCCGGAAAGAAAAGCGCUCGAUUAAUACUCGGGUGUUAUGACGGUACCGGAAGAAUAAGCACCGGCUAACUUCGUGCCAGCAGCCGCCGCCGUAA